UCCUACGGGGAGGCAGCAGUGGGGAAUUUUGGACAAUGGGCGCAAGCCUGAUCCAGCAAUGCCGCGUGCAGGAAGAAGGCCUUCGGGUUGUAAACUGCUUUUGUCAGGGAAGAAAUCCUCUGGGUUAAUACCUCGGGGGGAUGACGGUACCUGAAGAAUAAGCACCGGCUAACUACGUGCCAGCAGCCGCGGUAAUACGUAGGGUGCGAGCGUUAAUCGGAAUUACUGGGCGUAAAGCGUGCGCAGGCGGCUUUGCAAGACAGAUGUGAAAUCCCCGGGCUCAACCUGGGAACUGCAUUUGUGACUGCAAGGCUAGAGUACGGUAGAGGGGGAUGGAAUUCCGCGUGUAGCAGUGAAAUGCGUAGAUAUGCGGAGGAACACCAAUGGCGAAGGCAAUCCCCUGGACCUGUACUGACGCUCAUGCACGAAAGCGUGGGGAGCAAACAGGAUUAGAUACCCUGGUAGUCCACGCCCUAAACGAUGUCAACUGGUUGUUGGACGGCUUGCUGUUCAGUAACGAAGCUAACGCGUGAAGUGACCGCCU
rnacentral:rRNA from 1 species